rnacentral:rRNA from 1 species
AUUGAACGCUGGCGGCAGGCCUAACACAUGCAAGUCGAGCGGUAGAGAGGUGCUUGCAUCUCUUGAGAGCGGCGGACGGGUGAGUAAUGCCUAGGAAUCUGCCUAGUGGUGGGGGAUAACGUUCGGAAACGGACGCUAAUACCGCAUACGUCCUACGGGAGAAAGCGGGGGAUCUUCGGACCUCGCGCCAUUAGAUGAGCCUAGGUCGGAUUAGCUAGUUGGUGAGGUAAUGGCUCACCAAGGCGACGAUCCGUAACUGGUCUGAGAGGAUGAUCAGUCACACUGGAACUGAGACACGGUCCAGACUCCUACGGGAGGCAGCAGUGGGGGAAUAUUGGACAAUGGGCGAAAGACCUGAUCCAGCCAUGCCGCGUGUGUGAAG